GCCCCCGUGGCGGAACAGGAAGACGCGCCGGCCUCAAACCCCGGUGCCGCAAGGCGUGCCGGUUCGACCCCGGCCGGGGGCACCA
rnacentral:tRNA from 1 species